UCUCAUUUGAAACCAUCCCUAGCGAACCCCUCACAUCUCCGCAGUGGGGCAUUCGUGCUCCUCCGCAUCACAUGACCGAACCAUCUCAACCUCACUUCCCUUAUCUUGGCUUCCACCGAAGCCACUCCCACCGUAACUCGAAUAACCUCAUUUCUAAUCCUAUCUUUUCUAGUACACCCACACAUCCACCGAAGCAUUCUCAUCUCCGCCACCUUAAUUCAUCUUCUGACUGUGGGUCAUUUUAACAGGCUAACACUCCACCUCAAACAACAAAACCGAUCUAACCACCACUCUGUAAAAU
rnacentral:lncRNA from 1 species